UACGAAGGGGGCUAGCGUUGUUCGGAAUUACUGGGCGUAAAGCGUAUGCAGGCGGGUCGAUAAGUCAGUGGUGAAAUCCCGAGGCUCAACCUCGGAACUGCCUCUGAUACUGUCGAUCUUGAGUCCGGGAGAGGUGAGUGGUACUGCGAGUGUAGAGGUGAAAUUCGUAGAUAUUCGCAAGAACACCAGUGGCGAAGGCGGCUCACUGGCCCGGUACUGACGCUGAGAUACGAAAGCGUGGGGAGCAAACAGG
rnacentral:rRNA from 1 species